AAUUGAAUGAAUAUAGUGGCGGAGUCAGAAUAAGAACUUGAGAAAUAUUUUAAGAUUUUCUGAUUAGUGAGAGAAAAAGAAUAAUCAUGAAAUUUAGGAAUUGCCUAUAUUUGUUACUUUUCCUCUUGUGUUUUAUGGAGGUGAAAAGUGAAUGUAUUGGAACAACUUACGGCAAUAAUGAAUUCGAUCAGACAGCUUUAAGCUUGAUAUUGCUGGAUGGAGAGUCAACUAAUAAUCCCAAUAAUAACCUACAGGGAGUAUACGAAGGGAAAGAAUACACUCUAAAAGGAAAAGCUCUUUUGCCAGAAACUAAAGCAGCUAAUUAUAAACUUCAACUGAUUGUCCCAUCGACUGAAACAGUCAGAAGAAUUAAUUGUGAGAGUUUUAUAGUUGGUUCUUCUAGUGAUAUCUGUGGAGCAGAAUAUCCACUUAUUAAUUAUACAUAUUUCAAAUCAAUUACAAAUAAUACGGGAUCAAAUAUAGAGAAAUACUCAAAUACUUAUACAAAUUUGGUAAAAGAAGCAAUAGAUGUUUUAACAAUUGAUUAUGGGUGUAUUAAUGUCACUUCCGAUGGUACUCAAGACUCCAAAGAUGAAAUCGUAUUUAACAUAAAGUUUAUAGUAAAUGCUGGAUUGCAAAGCUCAAAUUUAACUUUUUAUUUGAGACUUUUCGUUGGAAAUAAAUGGAUUAAAACAGUUGGAACUCUUUUAUCUAUCAGUCCUUUGGGGCCUAAUUUACGAUCUACAUUAUCAUUGCUAAAUUACGCACCAGUUCAGAGUGGCAACAUUCUACGGUAUAGAGGAUUAAUCUACCAUUUACAGGGGACCACAGAAGAUGCAGUAAAUCUUAGAAUUUCUGCGUCAUCUAUAAAUGUUGGUGGCGUAGUUUUAACUAACACAAUUCGCUACAAAUUACCCAAUGGAGAAUUUGUUAAUAAAACCUCCCUUAACCCAAUAAUAUCCGGAAUUACGCUAGCAAAAACAUUUUUCUUAUCAAAUCCAAUUAUUAUUGAGUUCCAAGUAGAAGUCAACGAUAACCUUUUAUUGGGAGAUAAAAGUUUCUUUCAUGCGUCUUUAAGCUCUGACUACCGUAAUAACAAGGGGAUUCAAUUUUAUCGGGCCGAUUCAACUUCAACACCCCUAAUGCCGCUUCUAUUGGAUAGUACUCUUCCAUCAGAUGUAGAUUUACCAUCCGUUUAUCCAUUGGGCUUGACUCAUACAAUUGUAAAAAAGUUUAAAAUUCCGAGGGGAUCUUUGAACAACUUUAAAUUCACUGCUUCUUUUUCAACAUCUUCCUAUCCUGAUACACCGGUCAAGUUUAUAAACAGUUCCCUCGAUUUACCUUCUUACAUUAAUACUACAAACGCAAAACCACUCGUCGUGGAUGGAACAGGAUUCACAGAAUCAAAAAUCUUCAACCGUCGCAGAAAAAGGGCUCUAACCGUAACGAAAGAAUUUACAAGAGAUAUGGGUAGUUUUGUUAAUCCCUCUACAUCACCAGCUACUCCUGCUGAAGCAGAGUUUAGAGCAACCUUUGUAGCUGCUCAGAAUGUCCUACCUGGAGGAACAAUUUCAGGGAAUGCUCUUUUUUCUUACAACUCAAACUCAGCACCCCUAGCUAGUAGAUCUGGUUUGGUUGUACAGCCUAGUCUUCAGAUUGUGAAUAAAACAAUUGAGGUUAUAGACACCCAAACAUUUCCUAACACUAUUCGUGUUAAUCUUACUGUUGAGCAUACAUCAACAUCAACGGGAGAUGCACAAUUUAUUGAGCUAAGAGAUGGUCACUCGUCUCUCAUAGUUUUUUCGGAUCGCUUUAUUGUCAAUCCUACUGGAGCGUUAGAACAGUCAUCAGGAGUCGUGACUGCCUUUAUCUUAUCUAUUGAAAACUUGCCUUUGGGAAAUCAGCUAGAGUUGUCAUUUAAAGCCCAACCGAAAAAUGAGGGUAAAGAUCUGGCAAAUGGGAUCACAAGAAUUAAUUCCACAAUCUAUUAUAAUUCUACAGGAGGUAAUAAUGCUUAUCGCUAUGGAGCUCUCCAAGCCUCGACAUGCAUCGAAAAAGUUAAUAUUGAAACUUCAGAUCUAUUUACUGACCAUGCUGUAACCGUUGUUAUGCUCCUGGUUGGUUUGAUUGUUGGUGCAUUGUUGAUCAUCCUAGCGCUAUUUAUCUAUAAAAAGUGUAGAAAUACACUACCAGGGGGUCUCAUCAGACCAGAAAGUGCUGUAGACCGAAUUCUUUUACACGAGAAUGAGAGAAAUUUUGAAAACUUGAAAAAUGACCAUCUUCUCUCAAACAUUUUUUCAAAAGCAAAGGGUUUAGCAUCUUCUGUACUUGGACAAGGAGUAAAUUUCUUUUUGUGCAUCAAAGACAGCUUAUCCAUGAACAACUGUGAGCAAGAAUACGAAAUUGCAGAAGCAAGAGUUUUAGAAGUUCAAAUAGAAGAAGAAAGAAAUAAAGCAGCAAUAGACUCAACCAAGUCAAUGUUAUACUCGUUGCAAAAGAAUAAAGAUAUCUCACCAAAAAUCCAACAGCAGUAUAUGCAAAAAUUUGAAAGAAAUGUCCGGAAUUUUAAUAACAAUAUGUUUAAAGAAUACGAAAUGGAUGUUAUCAAAGUUGUUAAACCGAUAGCAGUUGAAAACAGGGCACAGGAACAGUUAUUGAUAGAUAAGCACAAAAGGGAAGAAAAUGCGAUGGAAGAAAAGUGGCAGAACUUACCAGAAGAGGACAGAAGGGAGCUUCGAAACCUCAUGAUUGAAAGGCAUAAGAAAGAAAUUUUGGAAUUACAAUUUAAAUUAAAUUUAGAUAUCGAUGUUGCUGUUGAAAGAAUACGAAAGGAAAACGUAUUACGAGCAAGAAUUGCCCUAAAAGAACAACAACAGAAUUUAUUCCAAGAUUUAAAGCAAGAUAAUCAUAUUUCAAACGAACAACUGGAGUGGAUAUUAGGCAAGCAUCGCGAGAAUCAGCUUGAAUUGGAUCGUACAUUUGACGAACAGUUAUCUAAGCAAAAAUUUAUCCUUGAAGAAAAACUUAACCGGCGAAAAAUGCUUCUUCAAUUAGCCGAAAACAGGGAUGUCGAAGAUGCUGAGGUUUUAUCUAAAAUUCGAAAGCAAGAAAUUCAAAUUGUAAAAGAAAGCAGAAAGAUCUUGUCUCCUGAUACCGCAAGAGAGAUGAUAAAAGAAAUAAAUGAAGAUUCUAAGAAAAUCAAAUCGAAAGUUGAAAAUGAACGUGAUCGAUUAGAAGGUAAUCUUCAACAGAAACUCUCGGACAGAAGACGAAAAAGAUUAGAGGAGCUGAGGAAAAAACAAGACAUGGAAAUUAAAGAACUAGAAAAAAGCCAGGAGAAGGAAUUGAUUGACGCAUCAAUCGAUCCGGUUGAACUCGUGAAAGUCAGACAAAAUAUGAUAACCAGUCAUAAAGCAGAAAUUGCUCAUCUUGAGUGGGAAAUUGAUCAAGAAGAGGCGAUAGAAUUUGGAAAAUUGAGAGAAAACUUAAUGAAUGAUGCGCGAAAGGAAUUUGAAGAUAGAAAAUUACGAACUUCCGCUAAUGUAGUUGACCAAGGUUUUGAUAAAGAAGAUGCUGAACGUUUGUUAAGAAGACAUCAAGAAGAAUUACGAAAGUUUUCGGAACUGAAAGAAUCUGAACGAGAUCAGCAAAAACUGAAGCUAAAAGAAAAAUUGGAAAAGAGAAGGCUGGAGCGCGGACGAGAGCGACAGCAAGAAUUACAGACAGAGGAAGAUAUUCGGCAGUAUGAAGAACAAGUAGUUCGAAAAUUAUGCGAUGGCCAGAUAGCUCUCUCAGCAGAUGAAAGGCAGAAAAUAAUUCAAGAACACGAAAAGCAAAUGGUUAAUAUAGAGAAUAACAUCGCCUUGUCAAAAUUGCAACAACAACAAGCACUUCAAGAAAAGAUUGCCAAUAGACGCAGAAGGGAAAAAAAUAAUCUUCAAAAGAAACAAAAACAAGAAGAAGCAAAGUUUCAAGCUAACGCUGACGACGAUGAUGAUGAUUAUGAUAGUAGGCAAGUAGAUUUAAUGAAAAAACAGGCGGAAGAGCAGUUGGAGCUUUUGCGAAGAGGUUCGGCUCUUGAAGCUGAUGAAGUGCAAAAUGAGCUUGAUGCAAUCCAUGAGUCUAUGAUAAGGGAAAGGAGCACUAUACUCAAAGAGCAAGAAGAAAGGCUAGCGUCUAUGUUAGCUGAUAUGCAGUUCAAAAAAGCCAGGGAAAUGGCCAAAAUGGAAGAACAACAGAAAGCUAUUAAUACUUUAAAAGCAAAUAUAAUGGAUGAUUUAUCGGAAAAAGGUGUUCUUGGAGAUCCAAAAUGUAGAGAGGUUAUAGAAAAUUAUCAAAGAGAUCAGCAGAAAAUUAACGAUGUUCUAGAUGAACAACGACAGAAGCAAGAGAAAGUCAGUUUUCAAUAUUUUUAAGACAUACAUUUCAAGUUAUACUUAAUAUCCAUUUCAAUAUAUAUUCUGCGAUCAUUAAUAUUUAGACACUAAGGGAAAAAAUAGAAAAUCGGGUAAAAAGACGGGAAAAGACGUACUUAGAUUAUCUUGAAGACAAUACAGAGGUGUGACUGAAUGUCACAAUUUUAUAUAGCAUGAUAUAUUAUUGCACUUUACACUUCCAAUAUUAAGCCUUAAUAACUCAACGAUAUAGAAAUUCUUAAACCCAAUAUUUUGUUUUGACAGCGACUGAGGGAGCAACUAGACAAAAGAUUGAGAAGAAAGGAAGAAACUUUAGCUAUCUCUCAUGAAAAACAAAAAGAUAUUGAAAAAGGGCGAGCAGAAAACGCACUAGGCGCAAAAAUUCGACUAGCCUUCUUAAAAAGUAGACAGUUAACCGAAAUGGAGGAUUUUAGAAAUCGUAUUCAGAAAGAAAUUGACCAAACUUUGGAAGAAAUGCAGAGGCAGAACGACUUGAAGAGAAAAGAAGAAAUUCAAAAGCAGGAAUUAAAAUUUAUUGCGGGCUUGGUAAAACUUGGUCAAUUUUCUAAACAAGAAUUGAUCAAUGUUGUAGACAUACUGUUUAGUACCAAAACUGUAGAAGAGAGAGAGAGUCUCUUGAGGGAAAUUUGCCAGAAUUAUAAUCCGCCUUCAGACGAUUCCCAUCUUCAAGGAAGCAAUGACAACCGAAGACCUAGUACACUUGACGACAGAAUCAAAGCUUCAACAAUUGAUCUGGUAAAAUUGGACAAUAAAAAUCGGUUUGUUUAUUUUCAUUUUUUAAGUAUUUAGGCAAUACAUUUAGCAAAAAUAAUAAAUCUAGCCAACGUCGUGCUAUGCCAAGCUUGAACUAACACCAUUUGGUGGAUAUUAUAUUAUCAGCUAAAUAUUCUUAAUCUGAAAUUUUAUUCUAUUCGACGAUCUAAUAACGCAUGCCUUCUAUGCCCUGCUGCAAUAUUAACGUAACCAUGAAUAUAUUUUAUACAGGACAUCUGUAAAGAACUAAAGAUAAAAGCUUGGCUAGGCAUGUAAAAAGUUUGAAACACUUUGGUCAACUUAACUUACAAAUUUCAGAAUAGCUUUAUUAACGUGCAGUUUUUUCAUUCAAUUUGAAUGUAAGAUUCUGUGCACUUGAAUUUUUUAACUUUCACAAUUUAAUAGUCCACAUUUUUAUUUACUUGUUGAGCUUAUUCAAAUGUUUAUUCAAAUGUUUAUUCCAAUUAGGAUUUGACUGUAAACGAAAUUUAAUUUAUUGAUUGCACACUUGCCUGAAUUUCCUUUGCGAUUAAUUGUUUUACUCUUUUCUGGACGCUUUCAAAUAUUUUCUUAAAUUUAAACCUUCAGAUCAUUUCAUAGAAAGUCAUCUCGUCGAAAAAGCAGCCACUAUUCAAACAUAGAAGAGGAAUACGAAGACAGCCAACAAGAGAACUAUUAUGAUCAAGGCGACUUAUAUAUGGAAGGAAAACCAAAAAAUCGAUUGCCUCCCAUGGACAGACCUCGAACGGGUAGGAAGAAAAAAGGACUUCGAGGCAGGAAAAAUUAUUCAGAUGUUUAAUAGUAGCUGUGAUAAUUAAUCUUCUGUUAAAAUUUUUAUACCAUGCCAUUUUGCAUAAUGCUCAAAAUUGACUAUACUAUCAUUUAGGAUCUAGCCAGUGUUAUAAGAAAUACAAAAUAGUUUAAUCAAGAAGUUCUUUUCAUAUUUAUUAUUUUAUACUGAGAUUGUUGGAAUUCUUGUGGUAAUUCACAUUUUUUAAUGUGAUUAAUUUCAAAGUCAUUAUUUAUUAGAUCAAAAAACACAUCCUCUCCUAAUCCCCUUGGUUUGUAUGAUAUCCAGAUAGCAGUUUCUUUGUUGCUCAAAUCCUUCAAAGCUUGAAUGAGGUCGUUUAAGUUUUCUCUUUCAUAAAUCACGUCUGAUGCUAAUAUAACCUGAAAAUUUGAAAAGCUUUUGAACUGCUUUGAUUUACCCCAAGUAUAAUCGUCUACAAAAAUCUUGUCACAAUUUAGAGAUUUAUUGCUUGCAAUGGAUUUAACGUUCUUUGUGAUGCAUGCGCGAGUGUGAGACAAGACUUGCGGCAAAUCAGUGGCAAUAACUUUCGCUCCAAGCAACCAGGCUGCUAGACUAACGAGACCACAACCAGAUCCUAAUUCUAUGACAUUUUUAGCUUUCCAAUAACAAGAACCAAAAUGGAUUUUCGAUUCUAAGAAUUUGGCUAGUAAAUAAGAGCCAUCCCAUAGCUUAUAUGCCGUGUUCUGUCGUUGUGUAAUAUUAAUAUUUGUGUCUUGAUAGAAUGUUAAUCUGUUGUUAAAGAGAGAUAUAUGAAUUUCAUCUGUACGGUAAUCAACUCUUGGAUUAUCGUAUUUCCACAGAACUAACGACAUGCUUGACCGAUAAUUGAGGAAUAAAAAUAUUUAAAAUGGCGGAAAAAGUGAACUUUCUUUUUUGAUUUCAUAUCUAAUAUAAUAAUUAUCUGAAAUAUCUAAUCAAGAUCUGUAUUUUAAAA
rnacentral:misc_RNA from 1 species